UCGGGAAUCUUGGGCAAUGGGCGAAAGCCUGACCCAGCAACGCCGCGUGAGGGAUGAAGGCCCUCGGGUCGUAAACCUCUGUCGGGAGGGAAGAGAGGUUCGCGUUCGAACAGGGCGGGGACUUGACGGUACCUCCAAAGGAAGCGCCGGCUAACUCCGUGCCAGCAGCCGCGGUAAUACGGAGGGCGCGAGCGUUGUUCGGAAUCAUUGGGCGUAAAGCGCGGGUAGGCGGCUUGGCAAGUCGGGCGUGUAAGCCCGGGGCUCAACCCCGGAAUUGCGCUCGAAACUGCCUCGCUAGAGUCCCGGAGAGGAGGGCGGAAUUCCCGGUGUAGAGGUGAAAUUCGUAGAUAUCGGGAGGAACACCAGUGGCGAAGGCGGCCCUCUGGACGGUGACUGACGCUGAGACGCGAAAGCGUGGGGAGCAAACAGGAUUAGAUACCCCCGAAGUCC
rnacentral:rRNA from 1 species